rnacentral:miRNA from 1 species
GAUCAUGACUGACAGCCUCAUU